GAUGAACGCUGGCGGCGUGCCUAAUACAUGCAAGUCGAGCGAAUGGAUUAAGAGCUUGCUCUUAUGAAGUUAGCGGCGGACGGGUGAGUAACACGUGGGUAACCUGCCCAUAAGACUGGGAUAACUCCGGGAAACCGGGGCUAAUACCGGAUAACAUUUUGAACCGCAUGGUUCGAAAUUGAAAGGCGGCUUCGGCUGUCACUUAUGGAUGGACACGCGUCGCAUUAGCUAGUUGGUGAGGUAACGGCUCACCAAGGCAACGAUGCGUAGCCGACCUGAGAGGGUGAUCGGCCACACUGGGACUGAGACACGGCCCAGACUCCUACGGGAGGCAGCAGUAGGGAAUCUUCCGCAAUGGACGAAAGUCUGACGGAGCAACGCCGCGUGAGUGAUGAAGGCUUUCGGGUCGUAAAACUCUGUUGUUAGGGAAGAACAAGUGCUAGUUGAAUAAGCUGGCACCUUGACGGUACCUAACCAGAAAGCCACGGCUAUCUACGUGCCAGCCGCCGCCGUAA
rnacentral:rRNA from 1 species